ACCUCUUCCCAUUCCGAACAGAGAAGUUAAGCCCACCAGAGCCGAUGGUACUGCGGUAACACGUGGGAGAGUAGGUCGGUGCCAAAU
rnacentral:rRNA from 2 species